rnacentral:rRNA from 1 species
UACAGAGGGUGCUAGCGUUGUUCGGAAUCAUUGGGCGUAAAGGGCGUGUAGGCGGUUUGUUAAGUCAUGUGUGAAAUCCCUCGGCUCAACCGGGGAAGGACGCAUGAAACUGGCAAGCUAGAGUACCAAAGAGGGGGGUGGAAUUCCCGGUGUAGCGGUGAAAUGCGUAGAUAUGUGGAGGAACACCAGUGGCGAAGGCGACUCUCUGGGCUGUAACUGACGCUGAGGCGCGAAAGCGUGGGGAGCAAACAGG